GUAGCUUCCUGUCUGAUUAGACUUUAUUUCUGUAUUGGAAACAAAUGUGCUGACUGAGACGUGGGUGCAGGGAGUGUGAGGGCUGCUUGUGCUGAGAGGGGAUGGCCAAAACAUCCAGCAAGGAAGAUGAGCUUCAUGAUUCAGGGAGAGGAAGAAGUACUCCAGGGUUGGAAGAACCUUAAAGAGGCACGAUCAGAUUUGCCCACAUUCCUGAAUAAGGGAGAUGCCUAUUUCAACAAUAGUACCUACCAGGGUUAAUACAGACCAAGAAGCCUACUUGUUGCAGCUUUGAAGGAGGUGACACUUGGAUAAACCCUGGAGAAAAAAAUAAAGAAAAGACUGAAUGAAACCUAGAGGCAAAAGCUAUGGACAAAUGGGUGAAAUAAACAAGCAAUUUUCUUUUUGUUGUUCCUGAAGCCCACUACAUUAGCUCUGGCAGCAUUACCAGAUUUUAAGUCACACUGACCAAAUCAAAUAGGAAAAUCAGAUCGUGAUGAGCCGGACUGGCAUUAUUUCUAAUUUCUUUUAUAAUUUCCUUUGUGGGUCAUGAAUAAUUUAGAACCAUAUAUUUCUUUCCAUUUCUGAACACACAAAAGUAUUUUUGUUUUUUUCUUUUUCUUUGAAAUUGAGUUCUCAUUGCAUUUUGUUGGAGAAUAUAGUCUGCAUGUUUUAUCAAUCAAUUCCUUAAUAUUUAUUGACAUGCCCUUUAUGGUCUGGUAUGUGCUCAGUUUUUGAAAAUAUUCCCUGGAAAAUUGAAAAGAAUUCAGAUUAUUUAAGAGUUGACAUAAAGUUCUAAAUAUGUGAAUUUGACCAAAUGUCUUAAUCAUGCUGUUUAAUUCAGCAACAUCAUUAAUUUUUUGAUCACUUGAUCAAUCAGUCUGUAAUAAUUAAGUAUUAAAAAUUACACUCUAAGAAAUUCAAUUUACCAUAAUUUUAUUGACCUUUACUUUAUAUGAGUAGUUGCUUUUGAAGGUCAAAAAGUGGUCAACUAUUGGCAAUUUCUUAAGGUUUGAUCUAAUAUUUUGGAGCUAUGUUGCUGAUGUUUGUUGGUUCAGGUUUGUAAUAGUUUUCUGACAUAUUGUGUGAUAAGGUUUUUACUUUAAAAUCUAUUUCAUCUGCCAAUUUAUAUGGUUAGAGCAUCUUUAUUUUGAUCAGUAUUUUGAAAAUAUAAUCCACGUAUCUUUCUUCUGAUUAAAUUCUAUUUGGACUAAUGUCUGGCAUAUUAUUAUUAUUUUUUCUAUUUACUAUGA
rnacentral:lncRNA from 1 species